CCCUGCAUUCAGAGGCUGCUCUGUCUCCGGAGCUGCCGCGCGCUGCUCAGCCCCGGCCGAAUUCCUGCCCCGGCCCCCGCGCCCCGCGGGACAGCUGGGCCGGAAAAGCCAGCAUGGAUGGGCGCCGUGGGGAGGGGGAUGUGGGGCACGGGGGGUGCGGGGAUGGGGCGGGUGGGUGCUGGGUGGGGGUACCGCAGCACUGAUGGGUGCGAGGAGGGAGGUGGGGUGCUGGGCCACCCCCCCACGUCCAUCUGGCCCUUGUUAGCUUUUCAUGUCCAUCCAUCCCAUAUCCAUCAAGCCCAUAUCCAUCAUUCCAUACCCAUCCAUCCCAUGUCCAUCCAUCCCAUACCCAUCCAUCCCAUGUCCACCGAUCCCAAGUCCACCCAAUGCCUACCCAUCCAUUCAUAUCCAUCCAUCCAUCCCAUGUCCAUCCAUCCCAUAUCCAUCCAUUUCUACCCAUCCCAUAUCUGUCCAUCCCAUGCCCAUCCAUCCCAUAUCUGUCCAUCCCAUGUCUGUCCAUCCCAUAUCCAUCCAUCCCAUGUCCAUCCAUCCCAUAUCCAUCCAUCCCAUUUCUAUCCAUCCCAUAUCUGUCCAUCCCAUAUCCAUCCAUCCCAUAUUCCAUCCAUCCCAUAUCCAUCCAUCCCAUUUCUACCUAUCCCAUAUCUGUCCAUCCCAUGUCCAUCCAUCCCAUGUCUGCCCAUCCCAUAUUCCAUCCAUCCCAUAUCUGUCCACCCCAUGUCCAUCCACCACCCCUUGUCUGCCCAUCCCAUAUCCACCCAGUGUCCACCUGUCCCACGUCCAUCUAUCCAUACCCUUCCAUCCUAUGUCUGCCCGUCCCACGUCAUCCCACCUCAUGUCCACCCGCCCUGUAUCCAUCCAUCCCAUGUCAGUCUAUCCAUAUUCAUGCAUGCUGUGUCCAUCUGUCCCAUGUCCAUCUGUCCCCUGUCCACCUACCCCAUGUCUAUCAGCCCACGUCCGCCUGCCCCAUACCCACCCGUUCCAAUCCACCCCUCCCGUGUCCCUCCCGUCAC
ensembl:lncRNA